UACGAGAGGGGGCGGACGUUAUUCGGAAUUAUUGGGAGCGUAAAGGGCGCGUAGGCGGCUUUUCAAGUGACGGGUGAAAUCCCCGGGCUCAACCCGGGAACUGCGUCCGAUACUGGCAGGCUCGAAUCCGGGAGAGGGAUGGCGGAAUUCCAGGUGUAGCGGUGAAAUGCGUAGAUAUCUGGAGGAACACCGGUGGCGAAGGCGGCAUCCUGGACCGGCAUUGACGCUGAGGCGCGAAAGCCAGGGGAGCCAAAGCGGG
rnacentral:rRNA from 1 species